GUCCUAGCCGUAAACGAUGAUUACUAGGUGUGGGGCAGGCCUUGCCCCCGUGCCGCAGCCAACGCAUUAAGUAAUCCGCCUGGGGAGUACGGCCGCAAGGCUAAAACUCAAAGGAAUUGACGGGGGCCCGCACAAGCAGCGGAGCAUGUGGCUUAAUUCGAAGCAACGCGAAGAACCUUACCAGGGCUUGACAUGCGCCUGAAGCGCGGGAAACCGCGUGGCCGAGAGGAGGGCGCGCAGGUGGUGCAUGGCUGUCGU
rnacentral:rRNA from 1 species